rnacentral:rRNA from 1 species
AAAGAAACCAACAGGGAUUUCCCUAGUAACGGCGAGUGAAGCGGCAACAGCUCAAAUUUGAAAUCUGGCUUCGGCCCGAGUUGUAAUUUGUAGAGGAAGCUUUAGGCGCGGCACCUUCUGAGUCCCCUGGAACGGGGCGCCAAAGAGGGUGAGAGCCCCGUAUAGUUGGAUGCCUAGCCUGUGUAAAGCUCCUUCGACGAGUCGAGUAGUUUGGGAAUGCUGCUCAAAAUGGGAGGUAAAUUUCUUCUAAAGCUAAAUACCGGCCAGAGACCGAUAGCGCACAAGUAGAGUGAUCGAAAGAUGAAAAGCACUUUGAAAAGAGGGUUAAAUAGCACGUGAAAUUGUUGAAAGGGAAGCGCUUGUGACCAGACUUGCGCCGGGCGGAUCAUCCGGUGUUCUCACCGGUGCACUCCGCCCGGCUCAGGCCAGCAUCGGUUCUCGUGGGGGGAUAAAGGCCCUGGGAACGUAGCUCCUCCGGGAGUGUUAUAGCCCAGGGUGUAAUGCCCUCGCGGGGACCGAGGUUCGCGCAUCUGCAA